GGUGCUGGCCCCGCUCCUCGGUGUGUGGGCUGUGCCAGGGCACGGUGCUGUGCCAGGAGCCGGUGCUGUCCCCAGGUGAUAGUGCUGUGCCAGGGAAUGGCCUCAGCCCUCCUCAGAGCAGCGUGCUGGGUGCUGGCCAGGUGCCACCGCCCCUGAACGCCGCGCGGCCCUGCCGCGGUCUCUGCCUCGGGAAUCUCAGAUGGAGGAAUCGAGCAGAAUAGGUGGAGAUUUGCUUUCAGAACUGAAGUUCAGCAGGACUUGGUUCUCUCCAUGAGUGACAGAAUCCUUCACAGUGAGUUCCCAGCAUAUUGAAAACUUUCAAAGGAUGAAAUGGAUUGGUUUGGCAGAUCUGGAGAGCCUGAAUUAAUCCCCUGGUUAGAGCAUUUGAGCACUGCUGAUGUGGAACAGCACAGCCAGCAAUGUAAAGUUUGUUCUCCUCUACCUUGUUCAGUUCUGGCUGAUUUUAGUGUUCUGUACAGUUCACCCAGCCCUUUUCUCCUCCAUAUGGGCUUCAUUGAGAUUCAGCUCAAGGCCAGGACUUCAACACUUUUACAUCCCAAAGCUUAGUCAGAAGUGAAGAUUCCACAUUAAAAAAAUACAAAGGUUUAGCUCUAAUACAGUACAAAUAAAUAUUUGAGCUACUUGUUGUACUUCCACUCAGUGACUCACUGCUUUACAAAUGCUACUGGUACUACUGUCACAAAAUAAACCACAUGUUCUUGUGGGGCAGGUAGAAAAAUAUUUUCUUAGCCCUUUUACAGCAAAGUGGUGAACUUGAGCACAAAGGAGUGAAAGCCUUGGUUUCGGGGAGGGAUUCGUCACUCGGUGUUUCCAAAGGUGCUGAGGAUUUAGGAUUUCGGAUGUUCAGAGAGGAUUUACCAGCUGAGGAGAACGAUUGCUGGCCCUGCACAGCUCACACAUUGAGGAGAUGAGACAAGGGAUGGCUACAGAGUAUUGAGAGGUACAAAGGGAUACUGCUCAGUUCAAGUGGUCAUUGUACUGAAGGGAAUUUUACAGUGAUCUCUGAGGGAGGAAAAUGCAAUAGUUUUGUAGAGGUUUUCAAGGAACGUGCCCCAGGCUGAAAUGACAGUUUGGUGAAAAUGAAGGCUCUGGGUUGGAAAACAAGACAAAUGAACAAUUAGACAUAGUUACUCCAUGAUCUAGGAUGUGAGACAGCAA